UAAUUCCGUGCCAGCAGCCGCGGUAAUACGGGAGUGGCAAGCGUUAUCCGGAAUUAUUGGGCGUAAAGCGUCCGCAGGCGGCCCUUCAAGUCUGCUGUUAAAAAGUGGAGCUUAACUCCAUCAUGGCAGUGGAAACUGUUGGGCUUGAGUGUGGUAGGGGCAGAGGGAAUUCCCGGUGUAGCGGUGAAAUGCGUAGAUAUCGGGAAGAACACCAGUGGCGAAGGCGCUCUGCUGGGCCAUCACUGACGCUCAUGGACGAAAGCCAGGGGAGCGAAAGGGAUUAGAUACCCCUGUAGUCCUGGCCGUAAACGAUGAACACUAGGUGUCGGGGGAAUCGACCCCCUCGGUGUCGUAGCCAACGCGUUAAGUGUUCCGCCUGGGGAGUACGCACGCAAGUGUGAAACUCAAAUGAAUUGACGG
rnacentral:rRNA from 1 species